ACUGAACUGAACUGAACUGAACUGAAUCACUGAACUAGGGCAUUGAGAUGAGAGGAAAUGGAGAGAUCCUUUUGGAGCUUACUUAAUUUUUUCUGAUUUUAUUCAACUAAGGCAGCCCCUCCAACUAAAAUUUUCUUUCCUCAUCUUAGACAUUCAAACUCACUCACCUCAUCCAGCUGAUGGAGUCAACAAUCCUAUUUCCAGUAUGAAACUAGGACACUACAAUAGCUUAACUGAUCUCUGCCUCUAGUUUGUCUCCCUGGCUGCAGCAAGAGGAAUCUUUUUGUUUUAACCCCAGUCUUUGUGUCUACAUUAACUGUCAGUGGCUCCUCAUUCCCUGGGUCAGUAGUUCUCAAACAUAUACAGGAAUUUAUUGUGGUAAUGGUUGCGCAACUCUAUGAACAUACUUGAAACCACUGAACUGUAUACUUUAAAUAGGCGANNNNNNNNNNNNNNNNNNNNUUAAAUAUAGAUCAAAGUUGUUACUUUAAAAAAUGCAUUAAGAAAAUAAAAUCCUCUGGAAGUCAUGGCAUGCUGUGUGGAACAUCCUGAAAUGUUGAACCAAAAGCAGUUUUGCUAGCAGAAAAUAACAGUAUAGUAGAUAUUAGAUAUAAAAUUAAAACUCACCACUUUACAACUUUAUCUACAAAAAAGCAAGUGGUUGAGCUAAGAUUAUCACGUUUCUAAUGUUUGCCUCUAAUAAUAAAUUUUUAUUUCUUAAAUUAUUUUAUUGCCUCCCCCUAUUUGCCAGUAAAGCAGCAUUAACAUCAAAGGCAAGGAAAAUCUGAAAGGGAAACUUCAAAAUUGAGUAUAUCCUAUACAGUACUUCAGUUUAUAUGUCUACUUAUUUGCUUUCAAAUUAAAACAUUAGGAAAGUCUCCAUACUUGUAUUACACUAAGGUUUUCUGGAGGAGAUUGGACAAUCCUUGGCUUUCUGGAAAAUGCCUAUUUUUCUUUUUAUCUUUAAUAGGCUUUUUUUUUCAAGAAUUAUUUACUUAUUUGGGUGCUCCAGGUCUUAGUUGUGGCAUGUGGAGUCUAGUUCCCAUCCAGGGAUCUAACCUGGGCCCCCUGCAUUGGGCACACAGAGUCUCAGCCACUGAACUAUCAGGGAAAUCUCUAAAAUGACUAUUUGUUUUGACAUACAAAAUCUGGGAAGCCUGAUGGCUCAGUNNNNNNNNNNNNNNNNNNNNNNNNNNNNNNNNNNNNNNNNNNNNNUGGGUUGAGAAGAUCCCCUGGAGGAGGAAAUGGAAACCCACUCCAGUAUUUAUGCCUGAAAAAUUCCAUAGACAGAGAGGAGUCUGGUGGGCUGCAAUCCAAAGGGUCACAGACUGGGACACGACUGAGUGACUAAGCAUACACACACACAUACACACACCAUAAAAGAUCUUUUUCAAGUUGACCUUAAAUUCCCUUUCCAUCCUCACCUUAUUCCACACCACCUCAGGCUGCCACACCGCAGAUGCCACAUACCCCGCACAGUCAUNUUCCAUCCUCACCUUAUUCCGCACCACCUCAGGCUGCCACACCGCAGAUGCCACAUACCCCGCACAGUCAUGAACAGCUAAGGGUCCUCCAAAUACAUCCCUAAGCUUUGCCUUCAUGAAGGCAUCAACCUCUGAGCUGUCCUCUGAAACACACAAUAUCUCCAGAAAAAGAGCAAAAGGGAUUCUAAGCUGAAAGAAUUCAGCACCAGGACAGAAAUUUUGAGGGUAAGAGUAUUCGCACUCUGGUAGUUUGGCGAGGCCUCAGUGUGGGGUGCGUGGAAGGGAGAGGCUGGGAGGAGAUUGGCCCGAGCAGUCCUCCUAGUCUGUGCUUUACGACAUGAGCAAAACAGUGACUCCAGCAGGUCUGUGCUUCGCUCUCAAAACCCUCUUCUGCCCCACAUUCUUCCCAAAUACAUGUUAGCCACGUUGGAAAGUUGAUCAGAGUCAGAGGUGUGAUAGUGGACAGAAGGACCUGAUGGAUCCUCCUAAGAAUGAACCUAGGACUGUGUUCUAACCAUUGAGCAAUCAGUCAAUGCUGUGCUAUGAAAUCACACGUGGCAGCCAGUCAAGAAUGUGGUAGAACCAACACAGCUGGUUUCUGUGGAAAG
rnacentral:lncRNA from 1 species